AAGAGCUACAGGGUCCCUGAGGGUCUGGAGGACGGAGGGAAGAGGAAGAGGAAGAGAGUUUCUGCUCUGCAGGACUUCAGGAGCUGGUUCACCGGAACCUUCGACCCUCCUCAGCAGAAGCUGAAAAACGGACCCACGUUUGCAGACCUGAACUACAUCUACCUGAGCACGAUGAAGGACAAGCUGAAGAGCAGGAAGAGGCUCUACAGGAAGGCGGGCGUCGUUGUGUCUGACGAGGAGCUAAGGAGGACCUUCCUGCAGCCAGAGGGGGCGGGGCUUAACCAGGGGGAGGAGCCUGAGGACGGGUUCAUACCACCUGACAUGCUGGGUAACACACUCACUCACUCAC